UACGUAGGUGGCAAGCGUUGUCCGGAUUUAUUGGGUUUAAAGGGUGCGUAGGCGGCUUUGUAAGUCAGUGGUGAAAUAUGGCAGCUCAACUGUCAAGGUGCCAUUGAUACUGCAGAGCUUGAGUACAGAUGAGGUAGGCGGAAUUGACGGUGUAGCGGUGAAAUGCUUAGAUAUCGUCAAGAACACCUAUAGCGAAGGCAGCUUACUAGGCUGUAACUGACGCUGAGGCACGAAAGUGUGGGGAUCAAACAGGAUUAGAGUACCC
rnacentral:rRNA from 1 species